CGUACACUCCUACGGGAGGCAGCAGUGGGGAAUAUUGGACAAUGGGCGCAAGCCUGAUCCAGCCAUGCCGCGUGAGUGAUGAAGGCCCUAGGGUUGUAAAGCUCUUUCACCGGUGAAGAUAAUGACGGUAACCGGAGAAGAAGCCCCGGCUAACUUCGUGCCAGCAGCCGCGGUAAUACGAAGGGGGCUAGCGUUGUUCGGAUUUACUGGGCGUAAAGCGCACGUAGGCGGACUAUUAAGUCAGGGGUGAAAUCCCGGGGCUCAACCCCGGAACUGCCUUUGAUACUGGUAGUCUUGAGUUCGAGAGAGGUGAGUGGAAUUCCGAGUGUAGAGGUGAAAUUCGUAGAUAUUCGGAGGAACACCAGUGGCGAAGGCGGCUCACUGGCUCGAUACUGACGCUGAGGUGCGAAAGCGUGGGGAGCAAACAGGAUUAGAUACCCCUGUAGUCCCAUG
rnacentral:rRNA from 1 species